rnacentral:rRNA from 1 species
GAGGAACUUUGGCGGCGCGUCUAACACAUGCAAGUCGAACGAGCGAGAGAGAGCUUGCUUUCUCGAGCGAGUGGCGAACGGGUGAGUAACGCGUGAGGAACCUGCCUCAAAGAGGGGGACAACAGUUGGAAACGACUGCUAAUACCGCAUAAGCCCACGGUGCCGCAUGGCACAGAGGGAAAAGGAGCAAUCCGCUUUGAGAUGGCCUCGCGUCCGAUUAGCUAGUUGGUGAGGUAAUGGCCCACCAAGGCGACGAUCGGUAGCCGGACUGAGAGGUUGAACGGCCACAUUGGGACUGAGACACGGCCCAGACUCCUACGGGAGGCAGCAGUGGGGAAUAUUGCACAAUGGGGGAAACCCUGAUGCAGCGACGCCGCGUGGAGGAAGAAGGUCUUCGGAUUGUAAACUCCUGUUGUUGGGGAAGAUAAUGACGGUACCCAACAAGGAAGUGACGGCUAACUACGUGCCAGCAGCCGCGGUAAAACGUAGGUCACAAGCGUUGUCCGGAAUUACUGGGUGUAAAGGGAGCGCAGGCGGGAAGACAAGUUGGAAGUGAAAUCUAUGGGCUCAACCCAUAAACUGCUUUCAAAACUGUUUUUCUUGAGUAGUGCAGAGGUAGGCGGAAUUCCCGGUGUAGCGGUGGAAUGCGUAGAUAUCGGGAGGAACACCAGUGGCGAGGGCGGCCUACUGGGCACCAACUGACGCUGAGGCUCGAAAGUGUGGGUAGCAAACAAGAUUAGAUACCCUGGUAGUCCACACCGUAAACGAUGAUUACUAGGUGUUGGAGGAUUGACCCCUUCAGUGCCACAGUUAACACAAUAAGUAAUCCACCUGGGGAGUACGACCGCAAGGUUGAAACUCAAAGGAAUUGACGGGGGCCCGCACAAGCAGUGGAGUAUGUGGUUUAAUUCGACGCAACGCGAAGAACCUUACCAAGUCUUGACAUCCCUUGACAGACAUAGAAAUAUGUAAUCUCUUCGGAGCAAGGAGACAGGUGGUGCAUGGUUGUCGUCAGCUCGUGUCGUGAGAUGUUGGGUUAAGUCCCGCAACGAGCGCAACCCUUAUGGUCAGUUACUACGCAAGAGGACUCUGGCCAGACUGCCGUUGACAAAACGGAGGAAGGUGGGGAUGACGUUAAAUCAUCAUGCCCUUUAUGACUUGGGCUACACACGUACUACAAUGGCGUUAAACAAAGAGAAGCAAGACCGCGAGGUGGAGCAAAACUCAGAAACAACGUCCCAGUUCGGACUGCAGGCUGCAACUCGCCUGCACGAAGUCGGAAUUGCUAGUAAUCGUGGAUCAGCAUGCCACGGUGAAUACGUUCCCGGGCCUUGCACA